CGAGACCAAGAUUAAACUUUUUGGUUCAUCUACAUCUUCCAAACAAAAACCAAAUAAUAUCCCAUACCGUUGGAAAAAUGAAUUAAGUCCAGAAGAAAAACUAACUGAAUUACAAAAUAAAAUUGAACUGGCUGAAGUAGAAUAUUCUGCUUUAAAAGAGAGCUGUAAUGUUCAGAUAAUGAUCAAUGAAGAAAAUGUACAACGCUUUGUCAAAGCAUUAAAUAAUAUGAAAGAACGGUUAUUAAUCAAAUGAAGUAUAUCACAAAAGCAUUUGAUUAUUAUCUCAGCUUUUAGUUCAGUCAGUCAAAUAAUCUGGAUACAGAACAUCAGUAAUCAUAUGAAUGAAGCAUUGUCUAAAGAAAUCGGAGACUCCACUAUUAUGCAGGCAGUUUUAUCUGGCAAGGCUUCUUCAAAUUUUAGAGGAUGUGCAUAAAUAAUACUGAUGUAACAGCAAAAAGUGAAUAAAUUACAACAGAAACUAAACAAAGUUCGAUAAUAACCUAAUGACUCAAAAAUCCAAGAUGCUAAAAAUUCAAAUGUAAUUAUCAGAGAAACGGAGAAAGCACGCAAAGAGAUUACAGACAAAGCAUUAAAGGAGCACACAACACAAAAAAUAAGUAUUUUUUAUAUGAAAGAAUGUUCAAUUCUAAUGAUAAUGGUAUAGGUUUUACGUUUCUAUUCACAUUAUUCAUUAUGAGCAAUUGAAAAAAGACGUGUGACGUCACUGGGCCUCAGUCAUCGUAAUCGCCUAUCUUAUACGUGUAAAAGUUCCUCGCUUCACACAACGAUUUAUCAACCUAAAAAUUUUCUUUUUAAAAUUUAAUUGACGUAUAAAUGUGUGGUUUUAUGUGUUUAAGACGAUGCAAGAAUCAGAAUUUCAAUAUGACGUUUAGUUUUUUAAGUAUUAAAAAUCUUAAAACAGUAAUUUUGUUUAAACGGCACGUCAUGGCGAGCUGCGCGCGGCGUUCGGACUACG